GGGGGGGGCUAUACAUGCAAGUCGAGCGAAUGGAUUAAGAGCUUGCUCUUAUGAAGUUAGCGGCGGACGGGUGAGUAACACGUGGGUAACCUGCCCAUAAGACUGGGAUAACUCCGGGAAACCGGGGCUAAUACCGGAUAACAUUUUGAACCGCAUGGUUCGAAAUUGAAAGGCGGCUUCGGCUGUCACUUAUGGAUGGACCCGCGUCGCAUUAGCUAGUUGGUGAGGUAACGGCUCACCAAGGCAACGAUGCGUAGCCGACCUGAGAGGGUGAUCGGCCACACUGGGACUGAGACACGGCCCAGACUCCUACGGGAGGCAGCAGUAGGGAAUCUUCCGCAAUGGACGAAAGUCUGACGGAGCAACGCCGCGUGAGUGAUGAAGGCUUUCGGGUCGUAAAACUCUGUUGUUAGGGAAGAACAAGUGCUAGUUGAAUAAGCUGGCACCUUGACGGUACCUAACCAGAAAGCCACGGCUAACUACGUGCCAGCAGCCGCGGUAAUACGUAGGUGGCAAGCGUUAUCCGGAAUUAUUGGGCGUAAAGCGCGCGCAGGUGGUUUCUUAAGUCUGAUGUGAAAGCCCACGGCUCAACCGUGGAGGGUCAUUGGAAACUGGGAGACUUGAGUGCAGAAGAGGAAAGUGGAAUUCCAUGUGUAGCGGUGAAAUGCGUAGAGAUAUGGAGGAACACCAGUGGCGAAGGCGACUUUCUGGUCUGUAACUGACACUGAGGCGCGAAAGCGUGGGGAGCAAACAGGAUUAGUCUCUGGUGGU
rnacentral:rRNA from 1 species